GUGCUCGCUUCGGCAGAAUGUAUACUAAAAUGGGAAUGAUACAGAGAUUAGCAAGGCCCCUGCGCAAGGAUGACAUGCAGAUUCAUGAAGGAGCCAGGGCUUUG